rnacentral:rRNA from 1 species
AUUGAACGCUGGCGGCAGGCCUAACACAUGCAAGUCGAGCGAGCGGCGGACGGGUGAGUAAUGUAUGGGAAUCUGCCCGAUGGAGGGGGAUAACUACUGGAAACGGUGGCUAAUACCGCAUACUAUCGGUUGAACCCAUGUUGGUAUAGCUAGUGGGUGGGGUAAAGGCUCACCUAGGGGACGAUCUCUAGCUGGUCUGAGAGGAUGAUAAGCCACACUGGGACGUAGACACGGUCCAGACUCCUACGGGAGGCAGCAGUGGGGAAUAUGGGACAAUGGGCGCAAGCCUGAUGCAGCCAUGCCGCGUGUAUGAAGAAGGCCUUAGGGUUGUAAAGUACUUUCAGCGGGGAGGCGUUACCCGCAGAAGAAGCACCGGCUAACUCCGUGCCAGCAGCCGCGGUAAUUC